AGACACGUCAUCACGAAUCUUCUCCGCAAGGCUUUCGAUCUAUUUACGGCGCAAUGAAGUACAUGUUGUUUACCGUUUGCAUCCUCAUGGUUUUUGUUAUGGCCAAGGAAGGUUAUGGCGUUGUUCCCUGCAAGACGCUCGGUGCCCAGUGUGAAAACAACUGCUGUGGUGGUUUGACGUGUGACUGGUGUAAGGAUUGUAUUGGGCCGGCCUUUGGUAAAUGUAUCCCAAUAAAGAAACCGUCGUCCUGCGCCUCACAUCCUGAGUGCAGAGAUUAAAGCCGUAAUCGCAUCCUAGUUGCAGGACGUUACAAGGAUCUCGAUUGAUCA